UUCUUGAGGGAGGCAGCAGUGGGGAAUCUGCGCAAUGGGCGAAAGCCUGACGCAGCCAUGCCGCGUGGAUGAUGAAGGUCUUAGGAUUGUAAAAUCCUUUCACCGGGGACGAUAAUGACGGUACCCGGAGAAGAAGCCCCGGCUAACUUCGUGCCAGCAGCCGCGGUAAUACGAAGGGGGCUAGCGUUGCUCGGAAUUACUGGGCGUAAAGGGCGCGUAGGCGGACAGUUAAGUUGGGGGUGAAAGCCCGGGGCUCAACCUCGGAAUUGCCUUCAAUACUGGCUGUCUUGAGUACGGGAGAGGUGAGUGGAACUCCGAGUGUAGAGGUGAAAUUCGUAGAUAUUCGGAAGAACACCAGUGGCGAAGGCGACUCACUGGCCCGUUACUGACGCUGAGGCGCGAAAGCGUGGGGAGCA
rnacentral:rRNA from 1 species